AUUGAACGCUGGCGGCACGCCUAACACAUGCAAGUCGAGCGGCAGCGAGACUAGUAGCAAUACUAGUUGUCGGCGAGCGGCGGACGGGUGAGUAACACGUAGGAAUCUGCCCUUAAGCGGGGGAUAACCAAGGGAAACUUUGGCUAAUACCGCAUAAUCUCGAGAGAGCAAAGCUGCCCGCAAGGGUGGCACUUGAGGAGGAGCCUGCGUCCGAUUAGCUAGUUGGUGGGGUAAUGGCCUACCAAGGCGAUGAUCGGUAACUGGUCUGAGAGGACGACCAGUCACACUGGGACUGAGACACGGCCCAGACUCCUACGGGAGGCAGCAGUGGGGAAUAUUGGACAAUGGGGGCAACCCUGAUCCAGCGAUGCCGCGUGAGUGAAGAAGGCCUUCGGGUCGUAAAGCUCUUUAGGUUGGGAAGAAGGGUAUUGGCCGAAUAAUCCAGUACUUUGACGGUACCGACAGAAUAAGCACCGGCAAACUCUGUGCCAGCAGCCGCUGUAAUAC
rnacentral:rRNA from 1 species